GCCUGGGUGGCUCAGUCGGUUAAGCGUCUGACUUCGGCUCAGGUCAUGAUCUCACGGUCCGUGGGUUCAAGCCCUGCGUUGGGCU
rnacentral:tRNA from 1 species